AAUAUUAAUAAAACUUAUGAAAUUAAUCAAAUUGAAAAUAGCAUGAAAGCCAUUCAGCAACAUGUCAUAGAUCUAACAUAUCGAAAUCAAAUAUAUUCUACUGCAAAUUAACCAAUUCAAACAAAGACCAAGCUAUUGUCAAACGCUUUUACUCAUUUUUUCAUAGCGCAAAAAAAAAAAAAAAAAAACUAAGAACAAUGAAAUCAUGCACACAAAAUAAAUAACAAAUUACUCAUUUUUUUAACAAACAAAAUUGUAUAGCGAUAAGUGUGAAAAAUACAAUAAAAAAAAUUGAACCCAAACAAAUGAUAAUUUAUGAAGAUAAAAACACAGAUGUGAUUUGACGGAGUCGAGAGAGCAACAAGCCACAGAGAUAGAGUCGAGGGAGCAACAAAAGCAGCAAGACAGAGCAGUAGCGGCAGCGGUGACGCAGCAGAGAUGCAACGCAACAACAGCAGAGAUGCAGCGCACCGACGGCGGUGGCAGAGAUGCAGCACGGCAGUAGCAGCAACGACGGAGAUGCGAGGAGCAGCGGUGGUGAUGCAAGUAAUAGUUAGAUUGGAUAAAGAGAAGGAGAGUGAGAGAGCUGUGAAAUCAACGAAGAGAUAAGGAAUCAGCUGUGUAGGAUAAGAUUUUAGGGGAGAGAAAGAGAGAAAGCUUUUGGAUUUUAUUUUAUAAUUUAUUUCUGAAUUUAAUUUGUAAUAUAUGGAGAACAGCUCACCAAAGAUGUAUUAUAUCUAAUAUUCUCAAAAUAAAAAUGAAAUCAAGGGCCCAAAAACGCGACGAAACAGGUCCUAAAACUUCAGUUUCUCUGUUUUCAUUUAGAAUAUGAUGAUAAAUAGUGGCAUAUUGAUGAUUUUUUUUUUCUUAACAAUAAAUAGAGGUAUUAAUGUUUAGAAUAAAUUAAAUAUUGUUAUUCUAAGUAAGACUUAUCCAAUUUUAGAUUCAAUUAUUUGAGCAUUGACAACAAAAGAUGCCAAGAUGUGAUAAGAACUAAGAAGGGUGUAAACAAUUUCGUUUGUUUGAUCAUUCAUCGGGGAAUUUACAUAAUUAGUCCAAACGUUUUUAGGUCUUUUGAAACUAACUCUUCUAUAUAUAUAUAUAUUUUAAUCAGUCAAAUACAGUAUAAGGGUUUUAGAUGCAUUUAUCCUUACCAUUCUCACUCAACCCUAUCAGCAAUUAAAAAAAAAAAAAAAAAAAAAAAACUCGAAACUAACAAUUUCCAAUCAAGUAAAUUAACGACAACGGAAACGGCUACUUUUGGUAAGUCAACCAAGUUUUGAUUUUGAUUUAACGAGGUGAGUUUAGGCCUAAAUUUGUUUUUUUUUUUCAAUGGGUUUAAUGAAAAUCAAUAAAUUGUUGCUAGUUACAUAUGGCACUACAAAUGUUUGUUGAAAUGCCUCUGGUUUCUAAUUUCCUCAUUUUUGUUAAAAAAGUACCCAAAAAAAAAAAAAUUUCAUCUGCCCAUUUUCAUUUUUUCUUUAUCUAAAAAAGAAAACAGAGACAUUAACUAAGAAGGAAGAACACUUGCUUCUGCCGAAUGCCGCCAUUGCUAUCGUUCCUCUGCCCGACGCCACUGCUCCUGCUCAUCUGCCACUCCUCUGCCGUCAACCUUCAGCACAACCACCACAUCCCGCCCAUUCCUUUGGCGGCGGGUUUAGGUUGGUUCCCUUUUGGUUUUAUGCUUUGAAAACAACAAUACUAUUUUCUUUUUUUUUUUCCUCCAAAUUGGAUUCGCAUGGAAGAAAUUCAUAAUGCUGUAAGAAACCAUCUAUGUUGUUUUGUGAAGUUUCGGCGUUUUCAUUUACAUCAUUGGCACUGAGAUGCAUUUGUCUUCUAGCAGCACAAGAGCACCCUUAUCGCUUAUGUUUUAGCCCAGCCCAAACCGACCAAAACCGAACAGAACUGAACAGAAAAUUCAGGUUCGGCUCUCGGUUUUGUGCUUCUUCGGACCGCCCCAUAGGUUGAAAAAUGCUCAACCCGAGAAAUUCGAUUCAUUUUGGGUUGGGCCUAAAUCGGCCCAACCCCAGGCAAUGGUAUCGGUGCUUGGGAACGUGCAAAUUUUUAACGAGCCAUGGCUUUGGGGAUCUUGCUAUGUUUUAAUUGGUUUAGGUGGUCUUUGGCAAAUUUGGUUUGCUAUGGGCUGUCCAUGGCAGGGUGUGUGUCCCCCACAAUAGUGUUUUUGGUGUGACGUGUUUUAUUUUUAUUUUUUAUUAUUAUAAUUUUAAUAAAUUCAUUAUUUUUUUUUUGGGGUAAAUGAUGAUUUGUCUUCAAUAAUGUAGAAGUACAUUUAUUUGAUGAAUUUAAUGAUUUAUUAAAGUUGUGAGAUUUGAUAAUUUGCUGAGAGUGGUGGGAGUAUUUUUAUUUGAAAAUUAGUUUAUAAGCUAAUUAUAAGAGAAAAACGUCGGAAGGCCAAUUUCGAAAAAUCCAAAAAAAUUUAGGCUAGUUAUGUGAAUUUCCUUCCAGCUGAUUCCUUGGCAUGACAUGAUAUUUUUUUUGUCUGCGCAAAGCACUUCCUUUUCCUUCCUUGGUCUCGUCCCCAACAAAAAUCAGAAGAGAAACUGAAAAUACCGUCAAAAGAGAAACUGCUUUUGAUUGAAAUCCACAGAGGAAUUUCGCUGGCUCGUAACUCUUUUUUUUUUUUUUAAGGUUUUAAUUUCUUUAUAUUUAUUUUUUGGAACUUCAAAUAAUUGCUAUUGGAUUAAACUAAACUAAAGCAAAUUCGUAUCCAAAUGCAUAGCGCAUGGUAUCAGUUUGUUACUCUUUGAUCUAAUCAACUGUUUCUGUUAGAUGAUAAUUCAAAAUUGAAGUGCAAUUUUUCCAGCGUGUUCAUUCAUUCGUAUAACCGAGAACUAAAUCCCAAAGCCUUUAAUCAUGCUUAUUUUGAACAAUAAUAACAUAUUUUCUAUUUUAUUUUUUGAUUUCUGUGACUGUAGGUUUUAUCAUUUGAAGGAGUUGUGUCAUCUGCUCAGAUCAACUAACUCAUUUGAAGCUGAAGCUGGUCGUCGUAUUCUACUCAGCAAUCAGUAUCGUAUUGAAUCACUUUCUCUCUCUCACACAUCAAUAAUCAUAGUAGUAUUUAUUUGCCUGUCAAUUGGCGUUCAGUCAUGACUGGGAACGAGAGUGAGAGUGAACUCCCAGUGCCACCAUACCCUCCAAUCGAGCCAACCGCAUUCGACCUCAUUGUCAUUGGAACUGGCCUGCCAGAAUCUGUAAUUUCGGCCGCAGCAUCCGCCUCUGGCAAAUCCGUCCUCCACCUCGACCCGAACCCAUUUUACGGGUCCCACUUCUCAUCUCUCUCCAUUGCUGACCUGACUCACUUCCUUAACUCCCAUUCUACACCUUCUUCUGUCUGCCCUGAUCCUCUUUACUCUGAUGUUGAGAUAUCCAAUUAUGCUUCUCGACUUCUCAGCCAACACCCUAGAAACUUUAAUUUAGAUGUAUCCGGACCGAGAGUUUUAUUUUGUGCUGAUCAUGCUGUAGACUUGAUGUUAAAGUCUGGGGCAAGUCACUAUCUUGAAUUCAAAAGUAUUGAUGCAACUUUUAUGCUGGAUGCUGAUGCCAAACUGUGUAGUGUGCCGGAUUCACGUGCUGCGAUUUUUAAGGAUAAGAGUUUGGGUUUGAUGGAGAAGAAUCAGUUGAUGAGAUUCUUUAAGCUUGUUCAGGGACACUUGAGCCUAGAUGAGAGCGAAGAAAAUGAUGUGAGAAUCUCCGAGGAAGAUUUGGACAGUCCUUUUGCUGAUUUUUUGACUAAAAUGAAGUUGUCUCACAAGAUUAAAUCGUACAGUCCUUUCCCGCCUGUGACCUUUUUCUCCAUUAUCUAUUUAUGGCACUUAAGUGCCUGGUUAUUCUUCCGGUUGGAGAUGCCUUGCCGGUUAAAUCAAAAGAUUUGCUUUACUCUUUCUGUUGUUGAUUGCUAAUGCAUUCUUUUGGUUUUGUAGUAUUGUUCUAUAUGCAAUAGCGAUGGCAGAUUAUGAUCAAGAAGUCAGUGAAUAUGUGCUUAAGACAAGAGAUGGCAUCAAUCGAUUAGCUCUCUACAACUCAUCCAUUGGCAGGCUAGUGUUAAUGUUUUGCCUUUUUAUUUUUAUUUUUUUUGGUAUUAUUGAAAGUUUUGGCUCUGUACGAACUCAUCUGAUGACUGGCGUUGUUUUAUUCAGGUUUCAAAAUGCACUUGGGGCUUUGAUAUAUCCCAUUUAUGGGCAAGGGGAACUACCACAAGCCUUUUGCCGUCGUGCUGCCGUCAAAGGCUGUCUUUAUGUAAGGUUCAAAGGAUGCCUUCUGCUUUAUCUUCCAUGAAAAAUUUUGUUGUAUUUGAAUUAGAACUGUCACCAUUAUCCUAUUGUUUCUUUGCUGUCAGAUAUCAUCCAUGUAGUAUUGAACAACAUGAUAAACAGUAGUUGUUUGUUAUUUGUGGCAAUGGGAAUGGGAGAACUAUAUGAGACAAACUUGGGAGAAGGGUGUGGAUCUUGAAGUAACUGCUUGCUGCCUUUGUGCUUUUACUGCACCCUUUCCCUAUGCCAGUAUGUUUCUAUCAAGUUUAAGGGUGUCCAGAAAACAAAAGCUACAGUCCGUAAUAGCACUUUAAGUUGCUUGGGUUGAAAGUGCAGUAGUUUUAUUUCAGACACCUGAUUUAAGUUUGCAUUAGUGUUUCUAUUCUGAUUCUACUUGAGUUAAUGGAAUGGAUCUGCUCUUUUUGAAAAACAUUGCUUGAUAUUUAAUACCAUUCUAGGAAAAUGUCGAAAUUUUGGUUGUUGAAUGGGCUACAUAAAUACGAGUUGAAGUGUAAUUAUUCUGUUGUACCUCUGCUGAGUUAAUUUGCUCAUCUUCAUUUGAAAUUCUAUGGUUAGGUUCUGCGGAUGCCGGUGAUUUCUCUGCUUACGGAUCAGGUCCGAAGUUUGCUUAUGAAUUGGUUAUAACUGGGAAUUUUCUUUUAUUUAACUCAAUAGGCUGCUUGUGUCGAAGGAAUAAAUUAUAUGGUUUUAUUUGAAUGCAGAAUAGUGGGUCCUAUAAAGGUGUUAGAUUGGCUUCAGGUCAGGAUAUAUUGAGCCACAAGUUGGUCCUAGAUCCAUCUUUUACUGUUCCGGGGUCAUUAGCCUCAUCUCAUCAGCAACUGCAAGAAAGUUUUCAAGCUUUUAGUCUCAGUGAUAAUAAAGGCAAGGUGGCUAGGGGGAUAUGCAUUACAAGGAGUUCCUUGAAACCAGAUCUAUCAAAUUUUUUGGUGAUAUUUCCUCCCAGAUGUAAGAUUGACUCUUGGUACUUUUGCCCUUGCUAUGCUGAGGAUUUCAAGUGAAAUAGAAAAGCUAUUUGCUUAACUUUUUCUUCUUUUUUGUUACCCCUCCAGCUUUGUUUCCCGAGCAGGUUACAUCAAUCCGAGUUCUCCAGCUUGGUGGCAAUUUAGCUGUAUGUCCUGUAGGAAUGUAAGAUUUUUGUGUUUGUUUUGAAGCUGACUAGUAUUUUUCUUUUUAUCGUUUUAUAUGAUCAAAUGUUCUGGAAACUGUGCAUGCCAUUAGACACUAUGUGCUUAGGACAAAACAAAAAUUAUCCCUUUGACUCUCAAAUAUGUAAUGCCUACUUUUAAUAUCAUGAUACAUAUACGUGGCUAAAACUAUCUUUACCCUUAUAUUAUCUUUUGUGUGCUAAUAGAUGUGAGUUCGAGAAAAAUUAAGUGAAACCCACUGUAUAUGAAUUCCAUGUUUUUGGUUCUGUGCUCAUUUGAAAAUUAGUUGUGUCUGAUACAAAAAUUUAACUGCCCCCUACUUUUUAAAUGAAAUUUUGUGAUACUUGAGUUCACAUAGCUUUUCUUUUUCCUUGCUCAGGUUUGUGUUGUAUUUUUCAGCUUUAUGUGAUGAAGUCAAUCAAGGGAAAAAGUUACUACACGCAGCCUUAAGUGCUCUUCAGAAACUUCUUGUUACUGGAACAGCUGGAAAUAGCUCCACCGCUCAAAGUGAGGAUAUGGAAGAAGCAAAACCCACUUUACUUUGGAGCGCAUUGUAUAUUCAGGAUCUAAGUUUGGUAUGUUUUGCAUCUGUCUUUUCCUUGCCGAAAGUUCUCUUUCAUAGUUUUAAAAUGUACCUGUAUUGUGGGCGUGCACUUAUUUUUAUGUUUUUUCUUGCCCUUCUUUUUUCCCCUUUCUUUUAUAAAGGGAUACUGUAUCAUGGUUACAAAGCUGCAGUGUUUCCAGGAUGUAAUUCGCAAAAAGCAUUAUGUUCUCAUUAUUUUGACUUGUAAUGCCUGUUUGAUAGAGUCAUGUGUUUAUUUAGGGUCAGUUUGGAUCUAUUAUCUCCACUCCCACACCAGAUGGAAAUCUGAACUACAAUGAUCUUUUAGAUGCAACUGAAAAGGUACAUCAUCUUCAGCUUGUCAUAACGUUUGAAGUUUUGUUUUACUAUACUGCAGUUUUGUGAAGUUCAUUUAUUUGGACUAAGCAUUUGUCGUCAUUUUGAGAUGCUGAUGAAAAUUUGGUUAUGGCAAUCAACAGCUAUAUUGGAAGUUGUAUCCCAAUGAAGAAUUAUUUCCGGAGACCACUUCUUCCCCCGAGAAUUCUGAAGAUGAUGCUGGCCUUACUCUAGAGUCCUGAAGGUAUUUUGCUGGAUCAUAUUGGUUUCUUUUAUCAUUACCAGGAAUAUUGAAUCUGAUUCAAUUUAUGUGUCUAACAGUGAACUGGCACAGAAGUUGGAGAAAUACUGUUGUGGGAACGUGAUAAGAAUUUGUUUUCAUGAUUUUGGUAGCGUUUAAAGAUUGAAGUUGUGAACUCCAGAACUUGGCAAAGUAUGAUUUUCUUCCUCAACAUAACCGUACGUCCAAGUGCCGUUCACAGGAAUUUUGUUACCAUGCAAAAAGCAACCCAUAAUACGUGAGGUUUAUUGUGUUGUACGUUGAAUCUGCU
rnacentral:lncRNA from 1 species